rnacentral:rRNA from 1 species
GACGAACGCUGGCGGCGUGCUUAACACAUGCAAGUCGAACGGAAAGGCCCAGCUUGCUUGGUGCUCGCGUGGCGAACGGGUGAGUAACACGCGGGUGAUCCGCCCCUAACUUCGGGAUAUGCCUGGGAAACUGGGUCUAAUACCCGGGAUGGCAAUCGUUGAUUGUUGGUUGUGGAUGGUUUUUUCGGUUGGGGAUGAGCCCGCGGCCUAUCAGCUUGUUGGUGGGGUAGUGGCCUACCAAGGCGUCGACGGGUAGCCGGCCUGAGAGGGUGGACGGCCACAUUGGGACUGAGAUACGGCCCAGACUCCUACGGGAGGCAGCAGUGGGGAAUAUUGCACAAUGGGCGGAAGCCUGAUGCAGCGACGCCGCGUGGGGGAUGACGGCCUUCGGGUUGUAAACCUCUUUCGACAGGGACGAAGCGUUGGUGACGGUAACUGUAAAAGAAGCACCGGCUAACUACGUG